AACCUGCCCUUGGGAGGGGAACAACAGCUGGAAACGGCUGCUAAUACCCCAUAGGCUGAGGAGCAAAAGGAGGAAUCCGCCCAAGGAGGGGCUCGCGUCUGAUUAGUUAGUUGGUGAGGCAAUGGCUUACCAAGGCGACGAUCAGUAGCUGGUCCGAGAGGAUGAUCAGCCACACUGGGACUGAGACACGGCCCAGACUCCUACGGGAGGCAGCAGUGGGGAAUUUUCCGCAAUGGGCGAAAGCCUGACGGAGCAAUGCCGCGUGAAGGCAGAAGGCCCACGGGUCAUGAACUUCUUUUCUCGGAGA
rnacentral:rRNA from 1 species